CCUCUUCUAAGUAUAUUUAAAUUCAUUGAAGUCAUAACUAAAUCGUGGGACGAGAAAUAUGAAAAUUAUACCGUAAAUUAUAUUUGAUGUUGUUGUUGGCUCAUGGGCUGUUUGUUGGAUUGUUUUGUGGGUUAUGUAAACGUUGUUAUGGACGAAAAUUAUGUUAUACGACAUGAUUAGGAUAAUGAAUAUAUGAAGUGUGUUAAAAGUGAUUCAUGUUUAAGUGAAUUGGGAUAAAAAAAAAUUAAUUACGUGAAUAAUUGGUUAAUUAUGGGAUUACAUUAAAUGGAAAUAUAAUGGAUAAGUGUAGGCGGACAGCAUGUCCACGUGACCAAGGAGUAAUUGUCACCAUUACACGUAUAGGACUUCUUUUCUUGGUGUCAUCUUUUGGAUAGGAAUAUAUUAUUAUAUGUAUUGUAUUGUGGGGGCCCAUAAUAAAUGGUGUUAAUCUAAUAUGAGCAGUUAAAGCGGCAAAGCCCACAAAUCAUACCAUGAUCCGGUUAUAGCCUCAUUUGCUAUAGCUAUAACAAAAGUCUUAUUAGACCAAAAACCAAAGUACAACAACAACAUUACCUUGGUGAAGACGAAAACCUUUGCUGUUUUACUGCCAGAACUCAACAUCACUCUAUUUCACAUUUGUUAACUUUUAAUGAGAGGAUUCUCCUAUUGUUUUACAUAUAUGCUGCAACAAUUUCGCACCUUGGAUAGCUACUAGCACACUCAAACGUAGAAGAGGCAACAUCAGUAAGUCACGAUUGUUAGAUAGUAAUUUAUUUCUCAAAGGCAAAUUUAUGCAUCAACAAGUUUGUUCACACCAACAGAAUUAUAUUUCUGGCAACGUUGUCAUGCUUGAAGAAGAUAUUGCGAAAUUAGAGCAAUUAAGAGUAGAAAUCUCUCCGAGAAAAUUAAGGUUUAUCAUAUUAAUUGUGGAAGUUCUUGGAUGGACUGAGCUCUUGAACGACGUGAGGUACUGACGCUCAGUGUGGUAAUCCGCCAGCCUAGGAUACCUAUUCUGCUACUUUGGAGUGCUCCUUUGAUCCGGAGCCCAUAUUUUUGGUACAGAUCCUUUGUUGCACAUAUUUAUGUAUAUGUAUGACUAUUUGGGGGUACGGCGGGGUCCUGUCCCGUCAUAUGUUUCUGUUGUUAUUCGUAGAGGCCUGUAGACAUGUAUGUGGGUCAUGGAUCGUUAUUGUUCAGUAAUGUCUGUGUACUUUGCGUCUUAAGCGGUUCCAUUUGCUGUGACAGCCUUAGCGGCUCGUGCGUGUGUAUAUACAUGUAUAUAUUUUGUGAUAUGCUUUAUGACAGCCUUGCCGGCUUCUGUGUGAUACAUUUGUGAUAUGUGACCGCUUAAGACGACAUCUGCUCUUCGUAUCCAUACAAAUAAUGUAUGUUGAAUAUAGAUAAGAAAAUAGUUUGUAAAUA